UAGGGAAUCUUCGGCAAUGGGGGCAACCCUGACCGAGCAACGCCGCGUGAGUGAAGAAGGUUUUCGGAUCGUAAAGCUCUGUUGUAAGAGAGGAACGUGUGUGAGAGUGGAAAGUUCACACAGUGACGGUAACUUACCAGAAAGGGACGGCUAACUACGUGUCAG
rnacentral:rRNA from 1 species